UGAUAUAACUGGGUGUAUAUUUAAUAAUAAUAAGAAUAAUACAAUAUAAAAAUUUACACCAUAUACUAUAAAUAAUAGAAAUUAUUUUUGUGUACUUAAAAAGUAUGGGGCGCCGCCAUGUUGGAAUGAUGUAUACAACUGACGUAACAAGAAUGUUAGCGCUCUAAUCUCAACCCCGCAAACCUGCAGUAAUAAUGGAAGAAGACCGACCAAUCAUACCUGUCCCUGUUCUUCCCUUGGCAUAUGCUUUUGAACCAAUAAGUGUGUUCCCGUAGUGGUUUCAUAUGAGGCAGAUCAUUUAGUUGUGUCGGACUACAAUAUAGAUAAUGUACAUUUUUAUAUUGUAUUCUUUUCAUGUUAUUAAAUACGUACACAAUUAUGAUGUCAAUGUAUGUAUAGUUAAGUAGUAAACAUUUUAACAUUUUUAUGCACAAAUAUGCUCUUUUAGUUGUCAGGUUAAGUUUUGUGAACGUAUUACAUUAAUAACAGGGCCCGUACUUCACUCAUGGGGAAUUUGGAGGCCAAGUCAACACCUUGAACUCAUUGUGAAUGCCUUCCUGAUGACAAAUAACAUUUAUGAAAUACUCCAGUCCGGUUUCAGACCCCAUCAUAGUACUGAGAUAGUACUUUUUCAGCAAUUUGAGCUACAGAAGCUCAUCUGUUGGAUCCGACCACACAGGACAGCCUUGGAUACCCACGUAGCCUUGACCCUGUCACCGGUUCACCACUUUUCCUUCUUUGCACCAGUGGUUCUUACUACUGCAGACCGGGAACACCCCACAAUGGCUGCAGUUUUGGAGAUGCUCUGAAGCAGUCAUUUAUCCAACACAAUCUGCCCCUUGUCAAAGUUGCUCAGAUACUUACGCUUAUAUUGUUCCUGCUUUUAAAGCCUGAUUUAUGCUUCUGCGGGUCUGCAUUGUUAAUGUCAUGUGCAUGUGUACUCAGAUGUGCUCAGCAUUUAUAGUUGUGCAGCCUUGUUGUGUAGAUAGCUGUUACACUUGUUAGGACUAGGCGGCGAUGUUGCACAAAAUGUUGGUUUGUUCGCUUGUAAAUCAGGAAAGCUUCACUGAAGUAGUAACUGUAUAGUUGGUAAACAAUAUAAUAGGUAGCUAGAUCGGGGAAGACAGUUUCUAGAAUGGCACGUUUGAGAGUAAAAUUAAAUGAAGAGGAGAAAGGAAGAGAAGACUCUUGGCACCUGGUUUGUUUCCUUGUCGAGCAGGAAAACUUCACACAAGUAUCUGUAUAGUUGGUAAACAGUAUAAUAGCUAUCUAGCAAGAAUACAGUGUGCUUCUUCAGCAGAUGCGUAAGAUGGACGAAGAGGUAUAUUUAUAGUAUUUUAGCAUGUAUGCAAUGUAUGCAAUCCUGCUACAGGGGACAGUUGCUAUCCCUCAAACUGCAAACCUUCCUGGGAUAGGAGUCACCAUCCCCAUGUCAUCGUUGGAGAUGCUGCUUUUUCCAUUGCAUGGAAGUCUGAUGAAGCCCUUUAAUGGUAAGCAAUCAUUUAUUGAUAUUCUGAAAAUAUUUGGAGGGUUAAAUCAUAAGCAGAUAAUAUAUUAGAUUAAUAAUAGGGUUAGGGUUAUAUACUUCAUACUUGUAAGUGUUCUGCCUUUUAUUUCUUCCAUUGCACAUUUAGAAUUACCAUAUGUAACACACACACACACCUUGUAAAUUUUUUGCCCUCUAUUUGCACUUCUGGUUAGACACAAACUGCAUUUAUUUGUACUGUACUUGUACUGUUCAAUGACAACUUUCAAUCUAUUGUCAUUGAACAAGUACAAGUACAGUACAACAAAAUGCAGUUAGUCAUUGGAUAUUUAUUUUACAUUUCAAUGUAUAUUCUGCUUUACCGGGUGCCAAUCUGGACAAAAGCAAGAUGAUCUACAAAUAUCAACAUUCACAGACCAGACAUCAUUGAGAACUAAUUUGGUAUGAUGGCCGCAAGGUGGAGAAUUUUAGGCAGACCGUUGGAAUUCCUACCAGACAAAUGUAUACAUGUUGUGAAGGGCUGUGCUGCACUGCACAACUAUCUGGCCUAUACAGAUGCUGCCAACACACCUGCAACAAAGUAUAUACCACCUAAUUUAACAGACUCUCUUUUGAACAAUGGCGAGGCACAGCUGGGAAGUGGAGAAGACAGGUCACAGAGGGAGGCACCUUGGCUGACGCAGGGAGGGCCUCUCAGGCUGCUGUUGGAGUCCUCAAUGACCUGAUGAGGUGUUUCAUGUGCCAUGGCAGGAUACGGUGCUGAGGGCUGGCCUACUGAACUCUCAGCAAAAUCCGAAAACUGGAAGUCUUAUUGUUGCUACGGAAUCUCUAAUGUGAGAAGGGUCCAACUGCAGCAUGCAGCAGUCGCUCACGCCAUGACCCCUGCUCACGCCACGCCCGCGCACGCAACUUCCGACAGCAAGAGGGAACAUGAGGUUCGAUUAGAAAAGGAUGACAGGUGCUUCAUAUUGGAGGUGUCGCUACAUGGAGCAGAUUUUCUGAGUCCUACAGAAAAUAAUUCUACACCAUGUACACCGUGGACACCUGUCAUGAAGACCCACAUCCAGGUUACUGCGAUCACUUUUGCCGCCAAAUGCAAUAGUGAAAACGGACACGUAUACUACCUGUUGGCAGACAACCCUGAGCCAACUGGGUGUUUUUCAAGCUGCAGGCCACCGUGACAAUUUGUGGCUGGAAACUUGGGAUUGAAUUUUGAAUUCUCCAGUGUUAUUACAGACUGUUAAUGAAUUGUUUAUGACAAAAAAGAGAUGUCAUAUUCAGCCUAUGUUUAAAAAACUUUUGGGUGAACUUUUUGUAUAAUUGUAAAAUUUUUAAAACUUACAUCUAUUGAGAGUCUACUUUAUGCUUUUUUGGUUUUAAUAACGUCC
ensembl:lncRNA